rnacentral:rRNA from 2 species
GGGUUGUGAGGUUAAGCGACUAAGCGUACACGGUGGAUGCCCUGGCAGUCAGAGGCGAUGAAGGACGUGCUAAUCUGCGAUAAGCGCCGGUAAGGUGAUAUGAACCGUUAUAACCGGCGAUUUCCGAAUGGGGAAACCCAGUGUGAUUCGUCACACUAUCAUUAACUGAAUCCAUAGGUUAAUG